rnacentral:rRNA from 1 species
GAUCAUGGCUCAGGAUGAACGCUGCGGCGUGCUUAACACAUGCAAGUCGAACGAAGCACCUUGAUUUGAUUCUUCGGAUGAAGAUCUUGGUGACUGAGUGGCGGACGGGUGAGUAACGCGUGGGUAACCUGCCUCAUACAGGGGGAUAACAGUUAGAAAUGACUGCUAAUACCGCAUAAGACCACAGUACCGCAUGGUACAGGGGUAAAAACUCCGGUAGUAUGAGAUGGACCCGCGU